UCACCUAAACCUCAAGCAUACAAGAGGAUAAUGAAAUAAAAACAAAUGUAAAUCAAAAAGGGUGUAAAGUGGGUUUUAGUUUUACUCCUUUUAUGUGUCUUUGUUUUUAAGCAGUUUAUUGUAAUAGUGACACAACUUUACAUUAAGUUGUGUUAAUAACAACAAAAUACUACUUAAUGAUACUAAUGCUGCGUUCCAGGCAGGUUUUGAGCCCGCAAAUCACGACUUCAAAACCACGACUCAGUCAAGACUCAAAACUUGGAGUAGGACUACGCGUUGCCUGGAACGCAGCAUAAUAUUUAUUAUAGCGUAUCUUCUUUCCCGAUGACACGACGUAGCUUGCAUUGCAUCUUGGACACAGUAGUCUAUAAACUUCUACAACGUUUGAGACGCUUUGUGAAAAGGACUACAUUUCCCAUAAUGCCCCGCCCAACGCUCGCUGGAGAAACCGGAAGCGCGAAUUUGAAACGCUGAACCAACGACGCGGGACCUUUUGUUUGUAUUGUGAAGAGCUGUAUAAUAAAGCAAGAAAUCAUGUACACAUUAUCAGCUUUAGAAGUGGAUGUCAUUCCUGCAGUCUUUGUGAAGAAUGAUGCGAGUUAAAUUUAUUUCAUUUGAACAACCUAACAGGUUAAACGGUAAACAAAUCUGUGUAUUUGAUAUGACUUUGAUAGAUAUUGUUACAACUUGGAAAACAACAGACCAAACCAGUCAGAGACAGCGAUGUGAGGACAUCAACAGAAAAUAAAAUGCUGUAAGAAGUCCUUUAUGUGCACAGAGAUGAAGGUUGAAAAGUUACUAAAACACACUCAUAUUAGGCACGGUUCCUUGAAUCGUGCCUGAGCUCGCUUUCAUCAUUAGGAUGCGAUUAUUUGCAGAACACAAGAAGUAAAGCACUGUCAAUGUGAGUCAAACAACUGCUCGACUGAGGAGUUGAAGAGAGAAGGGCAGCUGCACAUUUCUAAAAUUGUGAAAGCACUCUGUCGGCUACACAACUCGGAGGCAAAUUGUAGGCACUAUCACCAGGAGCAGAGAUUAAGCUCACCACAUAAUGGGAAGGACACCUCAUUUUUAGUGGGAGCACUGGCUACAAGCCUGGAGUUGCACAAUGAAGGCCUUGAUAAAAAUUAAUUUGUGGCCUGCAAGACAUUACCAGAGCUAGCCAGUGUGGCCACAUCACGGUGUGACCAGAGGAGGAAGAGGUUGUGUUUCAGCUCUUGGAGUCAAACCCAGUGUACUAGCUGUGGACAAAGUGGGCUUCUGAAGGGGAAUCACCACUGACAUGAUUUCAGAUGAAGAAUACAAUGCUGUUGAUGGAGUGUCGGGUGGAUUGUGAGACCUUCAUCGUUCUGCAGUCAGGCGCUCCGCAAUCUGUGUGCUAAGCUGCAGCUGCAACUGUGUGUGUUCAAACUAUGCAGCGUUGCAUCACAGUCUGCAAUCUGAAUUGCUGUCUAACAGAAUGCCACCGCUUACCUAUGACCCCAAGGCAGCAAAAUGAACACAUUUGAUGCCAAAUGUGAUCCCAACAACAUAAUCGUUGGCUUUUUUUUGACUUUGUGUGUAUUUAUUUUUCCUAUGCUUUAUUAAUAAAACUCUUAAAUUUUAUCAACAUGUCUCUCCCAAAUGUCUGUUUUCUUUCCCUAAUAUUUUUUUAUUAAUGCCCUUAGCCCAUGGUAUACGUUACAUAGUCUUUAUAAUAUUAGCCUUCAUGACACAUAAAUUUUUUGUUAUAUCUCAUAUAAUAUAUCUAAUAUAAACCGUAAUUUUAUUAAAUAAUAAAAGGGAGGGGUUUAUUCAAAAUAGUAUUAUAAUUGCCCAGACUGGCCAAUCGCAACAAAUAUAUCAGCCAAUGACAGAUGCUAUUUCUGUUUUAAAAGUUGUUGCUACCGAAACUGCUCAUUUUUAAUACGUACAUUUAAACUUGUGUGCAAAUAGUAUAAAAUAGUGAGUUUAUUCAAUAUAAAAUACAUUAGGUCCCCUGUUAAAUAGUGAAGUGUGACAUCUGUUUAAUUGCAACUACAUUUCUUUCCAUGAGAAGAUUUCAGGGGUUUAAACUUAAACUAUUAUGUUUAUUUAAUGCAUUGAAAUGUUUUAGUUGGUUCAGUUAUAUUGUCUUUUACUAAAUGACUUUAUAACAUUACAUAACAUUUUAGUGCAAUAAUACUUGUACAACUUUUAGUUUUAAACGGCAAAAUCUUUUAUGAAGAACUUUUUUGAUGGUAAGAACUGUUGUUUUAGUGUAAUUGUAAAUUUUGUCAGUACAUUCAAAGUUAUUCAGAAUUUAAAAUAUUUCCUAAAAGUUAAAGCAGAUAAACACAUGUCACACUUCACCAUCAAACUGGGGACCAAAGACAUUUUGUGAAGUCACUAACAUGAU